rnacentral:rRNA from 1 species
UACAGAGGAGCCAAGCGUUGUCCGGAUUGACUGGGCGUAAAGCGCACGCAGGCGGAUGCGCGCGUGGGGUGUGAAAUCUGGCCGCUUAACGGCCAGGCGCCAUCCCAUACGGCGCGUCUGGAGUGAUGCGGAGGUCGAUGGAAUUGCCGGUGUAGUGGUGAAAUGCGUAGAGAUCGGCAGGAACACCCAGGGGGAAACCAGUCGACUGGGCAUCUACUGACGCUGAGGUGCGAGAGCGUGGGGAGCGAACCGG